CAAGUGACCAUACAAUAAAUUACGGGGCAGAGGAGAGUGGCAGAGGAGAGUGGUGCUAUAACAACUGGAGGUUGCUGUGGGAUGAUAAACAGUCAAUAUUCAUCGAAAGUGAUAGUUUCUCGAAAAGUGGUUUGCUUGUGAAAGAAAGUGAUAUAUGUGUUAGUAUAUAUUAAAAUAUUCCGACUGGAUUUAACUUUCAACACAGUUUGGAAUCUACGUAGAUAUAGUGAAGGAGUAUAAUUAAAAGUGAUAUUAAAUCUGGCAUGCACAUAAAGAUGAUAAGGAAUUAUAGUUAUUGGUGAUGUUGGAUGUAAUUUUCAAGACAAUUUGGAAUUGAAUGCUAUUAUUUGUGUGUUCGUUUCAUUGUAAUUAAUAUUUACUCAAACAGGAUUUGUCGCCAUCUGGAAUAUGAUUGUAUAAAGGGAAGAAAUGUAAUUAGUGGUGAGUAUGCUUUGCAAUUGGAUUUAAUUUUUAAUUUGGAAGGAACAAAGACAUAGUAAAGGAAUUAAUUAAUUUAUGAAAUUGAAACCGGAUUUAAUUUGCACUUCUGAGAUAUAUGUGCAUAUAGAAUGGUAUAUAAUAUGUGAUAAGCACGUUGCAUUCAAAUUAUCAACACGUAUUCAAAUCAGAUUUAGUGUUCAAGACAUUUGGAAUAUACAUAGAUAUAGGGAAGGAAUGUAAUUAUUACUAAUAUUCAAAUCGGAUUAAUGUUCAAUACAAUUUGGAGCAUACAUAGAUACAGUGCAGAAAUAUUAUUAUUGGUUUUGAAAUAAUUGAUACUAGAAUGGAACCUUUGAAAGCUGUGCUUGUAUAUUUCAAGGGUGGAGAAAAAACAACCAAUAUGCACGACAUCUUUUUCAAAUGGCUAUUAGAAAAGGUUACAUCAAUUUAUUUCACCUGGCAAUUAUUUGCUAUUGAUCAGACCUCAAAAUAUCGGUUUUGGUAUGAAAUAUUGCAUUCUUAUACUAUGUACUCAAACAGGAUUAAAUUUUCAAUACAAUUAGGAAUAUACAUAUAGAGUAUGAGUAUAACUAUUUGUGAGAAGGUUUUAUUAUAAAAUAUAAUAUGUAUUCAAAUUGAAUUUAAUUUUUCAACGGAGUUUGAAAUAUACAUAGAUCUAGUGAAGGAAUAUAAUUAUUUGUGAGCAGGUUUUAUUAUAAUUAUUGUUGAGUAUUCAAACUGGAUUAAAUUGGAAUAUACGUGAAGGAAUGUAACUAUUUGUGAUAUUCAGGUCGGAUUUUCAACAAAAUUGGCAAUAUGCAAGGAUAAUUUUCAAUAUAAUUUGGAAUAUACAUAGACGUAGUGAAGAAAUGUAAUUAUUGGUGAUAUUCUAACCUGGUUUAAUUUUCAAUACAAUUCGGAAUAUUCAUACAUAUAGUGGAUGUAUAUUAUUAUUGACGAUGUCAAUGUUUAAUACAAGUUGGAUUGUGCAUAGCUAUAGGAAAGGAAUAUCAUUAUCGAAUAUGCUAAUCAUAAUGGAAAAGACAUAAGAUUCCAAAUAUAUGCAGCCAUUGUUCUUAAAAAUACGAGUAAACUACUGCGAUCAACACUUAAGAAAUCCGUUCCGGAAUAUUUUACUUGAGGAGUAUUUUGGCAACAUGAAAUGAUAACGUGACCUAUAUCUUAAUUGAUUGUUUGCAGCAAAGAUAUUACUUUCAGGGUGUCUCGAGUUGUUGAAUUUUGCAUGAUUUGUAAAAGUGGCUAAUAAGAAAUUAUCAUGUUCCGGAAAACUUGUUGUCACGAACACGUAUAUCAUGAAACUGUCUCAAAAAAAAAAAAAAACACUUGGAAAUAAAAUAAGAAUCAUAUAAUUUUUACAUUUAUGGCUGCAGAAAUAAGUCCAAGCAAAUAUAUUUCAUGUUCCAAGCAAGUGCAUUGUUGAUUGAAAUUUAGUUUUCUUUCCAGAAUGCAUAAAGCAUUUGGGGUCCGACUAGGCUCUUUAGCUUAACAAUUAAAUAUGUUGGUUAAAAAAAUCUGUAAUUAAUAGAUGAUGUCCCUGGAUGUGAUCUUGAUUGACAGGACAACAAAAGCAAAAGCAAACAUUUCAUUUUAUUGAACAUUACCAUUCAUUCCUAAGUGAAAAUUUUUUUAGGGGAAAUUUGUUUAAUUCAAAAGUGUUUAUCGCGAAAACAAAUCGAAAGAUGUAGCUUUGAAUUUCAUAAAUAAGUAGCAAUACUAUGGUACUACGAUCUUUUAUGUGAAGAAACGGGUAGGCAAUGUUUAUACAAAAUAGCAAACUUUGCUAUUUCCCUUCAGUAUGUAUCUUUUUAAAAGAAUAUGAUAAUUUAGAUUAAAUGAAAUCAACCUUUAUGUCAAUAGGCUUAGGCAAUCUUAUUUCAUCGAAUGCCCUGAUAAUUAUUUACCUCAAAGCAACAGUUCUGAAAGAAAUGAAUCGUGCGUAGAAAACAACUUUUACAAAACGGUGUUUAAACUAUUUCCACCAUCUUGAAUUUAGAAUGACCUUUAUUUUAGGUGUGAAAAAAUGAAUUAAAACUUUCAAAUGCAACUGUUUUAUUAUACCAACACAGCGCAGUUUGCACACACAACCUAAGCAAAAAUAGUUAUACAAGAAUUUAAAACUGAAAUUUGGAAAUAAACAAAAUAGAUAUUUUAUCUGUAGAUUUCCUAAUUUUCCGCACUUUCCUGACGUUGUUAUCAUUUGUAACCCUAUAAUACUUCUAACUCUAAAUCUUAACUGAGACUUUUUAUCAGUGCCAUAAGUUUCUCUUUCCAUUAUGAUAAUUAAUUUUAUCACUGUUAGUAAUAGUUUUUACUAAAUCGUCCUGCUGUCAUAAGAUUAAUGAAAUAAGUGUAAAAAUCAUACAAACUGAAUCCCUGGGAGAAAAAAAAGCUAUAUAAAGACAACAGAAAGUAAAAUAUAUAUUACAAUGCAAUAACAAUAAAACCAUAAAACACAUAUCACUUGUAAUAAGUGGGGUAACAUGCCUUUUUAUGAUCCAGCUUGAAACAACACUGACCGGGUAUUGCUUACCUCUAGGCAUGUAAUAUACAAUGAAAUUAAAAGGGUGUUAAAACAUUUGAUGCAAUUAAAUUAUUUUAUGUUAAUUUAAAACGAAAAAUAAAUAAUAACUAAAUUGAUAACGCAGUUUUCAAACGAAUAAUCAAAAUAUGUACCAAAACAGGUAUUAAGUCGAAAUGAACAGACAAAAGGAUAAGGUCUCUUACACUUUAACUAUAUAAUAUGAUUUUUAAAACAAAUUUGAUCUUCCAUAACAUAGCCUUGAUGAACUAAUAAUGCUGUAUUUCUUUCAAUAGUUUGUUCUGUAUUCAUAAA
rnacentral:lncRNA from 1 species